GCCAAUGUGGUGUAGUGGUUUGAAUGCUGGACUAUGACUCUGGAGACUAGGGUUCAAAUCACUGCUUGGCCA